CCUACGGGUGGCAGCAGUGAGGAAUAUUGGUCAAUGGCCGCGAGCCUGAACCAGCCAAGCAGCGUGAAGGAUGACUGUCCUACGGGUUGUAAACUUCUUUUGUCAAGGAAUAAAGUGAGGCACGUGUGCCUUUUUGUGUGUACUUUAUGAAAAAGCAUCGGCUAACUCCGUGCCAGCAGCCGCGGUAAUACGGAGGAUCCGAGCGUUAUCCGGAUUUAUUGGGUUUAAAGGGUGCGUAGGUGGGUUGUUAAGUCAGUUGUGAAAGUCUGGGGCUCAACCGUAGAAGUGCAAUUGAUACUGGCAGCCUUGAGAAGUGUUGAGUUAUGCGGAAUGCGUGGUGUAGCGGUGAAAUGCUUAGAUAUUGCGAAGAACUCCGAUUGCGAAGGCAGCAUACU
rnacentral:rRNA from 1 species